rnacentral:rRNA from 1 species
GGGUGGGGGCGUGCUAUACUGCAGUCGAACGCUUUUUCUUUCACCGGAGCUUGCUCCACCGAAAGAAAAAGAGUGGCGAACGGGUGAGUAACACGUGGGUAACCUGCCCAUCAGAAGGGGAUAACACUUGGAAACAGGUGCUAAUACCGUAUAACACUAUUUUCCGCAUGGAAGAAAGUUGAAAGGCGCUUUUGCGUCACUGAUGGAUGGACCCGCGGUGCAUUAGCUAGUUGGUGAGGUAACGGCUCACCAAGGCCACGAUGCAUAGCCGACCUGAGAGGGUGAUCGGCCACACUGGGACUGAGACACGGCCCAGACUCCUACGGGAGGCAGCAGUAGGGAAUCUUCGGCAAUGGACGAAAGUCUGACCGAGCAACGCCGCGUGAGUGAAGAAGGUUUUCGGAUCGUAAAACUCUGUUGUUAGAGAAGAACAAGGAUGAGAGUAGAACGUUCAUCCCUUGACGGUAUCUAACCAGAAAGCCACGGCUAACUACGUGCCAGCAGCCGCGGUAAUACGUAGGUGGCAAGCGUUGUCCGGAUUUAUUGGGCGUAAAGCGAGCGCAGGCGGUUUCUUAAGUCUGAUGUGAAAGCCCCCGGCUC